rnacentral:rRNA from 1 species
CACGUAGGGCGCAAGCGUUGUCCGGAAUUAUUGGGCGUAAAGAGCUCGUAGGCGGUCUGUUGCGUCCGCUGUGAAAACUCAGGGCUUAACCCCGAGCCUGCAGUGGAUACGGGCAGACUAGAGGUAGGUAGGGGAGAAUGGAAUUCCCGGUGUAGCGGUGAAAUGCGCAGAUAUCGGGAGGAACACCGGUGGCGAAGGCGGUUCUCUGGGCCUUACCUGACGCUGAGGAGCGAAAGCGUGGGGAGCGAACAGG